CAUCAGAACCCUCGACCCGUUUCUCCAGCCCGUCGACCCGGCGACUGAACCCGAUCGGAACUUCCCUCGUCCGGCGACUUCACAGCGGCGCACCGGUCAUGCUCGAAGCGUCUUCUCAUCGUGGUUCCUCCUCUGGUCACGGAUGGUCCAUGCAUGGAGUAAGAAGAGAGAAUCGAAGCCCAAAAGCUUCGGGUUUUCCGGCAAAGCUUUUGCAGUUUCCGGCGAUCGUCGGGGUUGCGUGAGCUUUUCCGGCGAUUCUGGACUUGGUUUUUGGCUAGGCUGCAUCUGCAGACGAAGGUUGACCUUGUUCAUCACCGAGUUUCGAAAAGCUUUGCGAGUUGGAUAGAGAGCUUGGGUUGCCGGAAUGUGCACCGAGGUAUCAACCCGAGAAGGUUGCCGAUUCCAGACCUUCACCAGUGCAGAUUGGGUUUUGGUACUGUUCUGAACUCGACAAAGGACUCCAGAUACCCGAGGAACGGAAGGUUCGCGACUCUCGGAGUACGUGAGAGAAAGCAUCGGAAUCCAGGUAGGGGACUCGGGACUCUCUACUGGCUAGUGAUUUUCCGUAUUUAAUUAUAUACGUGAUGCAUGAUGAAAGUACACUGUUAGUUUAAAUUUGAAAUGUUUUCAAGUUAACGUGCGUAUAAGAUUGUUGAUGGCGGUGUGUGAGAGCGGAAAGGUGGUCGAUGACUUCCUUGGGGAUUAGCCAUCCCUAAACCUCCGAAGGGUUAACUACACCGGUCAGACGGUGCGCAAUCGCAAUGACGACCCUGUUCCGUGUGUGUAGCUAGUGUGUUAAGUUUGGCGCUCUGUGACUGGUAAGGUCAAAUGUUGGUUCUACGGAACCAGGCCAUCAGGUAAAUCGCACGUAGUUUUCUAAUCAUGCAUCGAGUUUUAAGAUGAAUGAUAUUUUAAGUUUGUCGUUCUUACAUAUAUAUUCGCUUUGUUUUCACACUGGGCCCAAAUCCAAAUUAUUAAUUUAUUACAAAGUUUUAGUUGAUUUUUCAAACUUAGCCGGAGUAGGUCCCAUAGAGCAGCGAGGACGAAAGCUCACCCCUACAACAGUGUAUGUGCAGGUACUGUGCACUGGUAACGGGAUUGUAGCGGACGGAGCUGGGUACGCGGAAUUUGAUAACCCUUCCAGACGGUAAACGAGUUUCUGAUGUACUCUUGAUCUUUAUUUCUUGAUCCACGCCAUUCUAAAACUUGUUGUUGAGUGUUCAUUGUGUGGUUAAGUCUAUUAGUCCUCGACUAUUCAAAAAUGACAAGUUCUAGACGAACAAAGUGAAUUUUGUAAUUUCAAGAAGCUUUCACCUCAAAAGUAUUUUAAAUUCCCGCUGUGCGUUUUACGAAAAGUUUAUCAACAAAAAUGCCUUGCGGUUCUCUAGAAUGUAAUUCAAGCUUUCGGUUUAUAUUUUAGAGACUCGCGGCACUGUGACGUGCUCAAGCUGGCAAGGUGCAGUUUGGGGCGUUACACCUAC